rnacentral:lncRNA from 1 species
GAAACAUUGUGAAUUUCCAUGGCAGCAUUGGACGCGACCAUUGAACACGGAUCGUCGAUCGAGUCGUCUACCAAGAGAGUGGGUCAAGGUGGCCGUCUUCGUGAUCUCCUUAGUUCCGCGUUCUACUGGCGGGUUUCGUUCAUUCGUUUAUUCGGUGAAUAUGGAUAGUGUGUGCAUCGACAUGUAUACACGCGUGUUCCUUCACUUAUAUGUAUGUGCGACACGAUUGUAUGUAGGUACGGAUAUAACCUAUGUGCCGCGUCAUCAACCACUGCGAACCUACACCGUCAUCAGAAGCGAAAGAUGCUGGCGUCGCCAAAUCUUCCCUUUCUCCACCUUCUAUACGCGGCGAGAGUAAACGUGACGUCACAAGCUUAAAGCUGCUAGACGAAAUGAGAAGAACCGAUUGAUUCGUCCUUUUCGUUUCGUUUAUCUUCGUACUCUCCUUACUCGAAAGUUGUCUAUAUAAGUGAUGAAGAAUCUUGGACUCAAUGAAGGAAUGAAUUAUUAUUGGUACUGUUACUGAUGGUUGCAUAUAUUCUUGAAGCAUUUUGAAGGAAUUGUUAUUUUUGUGAUAUUUUCUUAGACUUUAAUCCGAGGCCUAACCUAAAUAUUUUUUUGAGAUAUUACAGAAAAAAAUUAUUUUUAUUAUUAUAAAUAUCUAUGACCGCCUAUUGUAAUAUCUUUAUGCAUUGUUAUAUAUAAUCAAUGAAAUGACAUCAUACCACCAACAUAGCAAUGCAAACAUAAGAACAAUCUUGAUAUUAUCAUACGUGUGUGGUCUGUGAUAAUUUAUAAUCGUGAUAUCAAUCCCUCGAAAGAAAUACGAUUAAUAGUUGUAAACAAGAUGUAAGAAAACAAUUCAUUAUACACUGGAAACAUUUUAACAUCUCCUACUGAAAGAUUCGAAACAUUUAUAUAAGAUCCGAGACUCUUAUAUACACUUGCCACUGUUUAUCUAAAAUUUACCGACACACAAAAGGUAGGUGAACGAGAUGAUGCACGUACAGAACAGAAUCGUUAUGUACUUACAUUACAUACGACCACUGAUGGAAGAGGCAGUAGCGUCCACGUCACUCGGUAAGGGGGUGUCAUAGAGGAAA